UACGUAGGGUGCAAGCGUUAAUCGGAAUUACUGGGCGUAAAGCGUGCGCAGGCGGUGAGCUGUGUCCGAUGUGAAAGCCCCCGGGCUUAACCUGGGAAUGGCAUUGGAAACUGGCUCGCUGGAGUGUGGCAGAGGGGGGGUGGAAUUCCGCGUGUAGCGGUGAAAUGCGUAGAGAUGUGGAGGAACACCAGUGGCGAAGGCGACUCUCUGGUCUGUAACUGACGCUGAGGCGCGAAAGCGUGGGGAGCAAACAGG
rnacentral:rRNA from 1 species